CAGCAGAGGAGCUAGCCUGCUGACCUUCCUGAGCUGAAAGGUCCUGGCCAGAAAAGGCUGAUGGCUAAGAGAAGUACAGGGAGAUGCCUGCUGGUUCUCUGAGCUGGAGAGGUGAAGGCUGGGGGUAGGUGGGGUGUUGGAGCUGUGCCUGACGGAUGAGCAUGGUGAGAGAUGCUGGAGCUGUACCAGGGAUCCCGAGCAUGGAGGCAGAAGCUGGGACUGUGCUUCACAAAUAAAAGGCUACUCCUCACCUGUGUAAAACGCCACAUGAAAAAGAAAUGCAGCAGCAAGUUGAGACACAACCCAUUCAUAACACUCCUGCAGACCUGGACCAGUUCUCACACAGCAGAUGAUGCAUCAGUCACGCCACCUUAGGUGAUGUUCCGGGCUAUCAGCACUGGUCACACGUUAAAAAGAAUAUCUAUUAAAUUUAA